AUGCUGAUUUUCUGUAGAGUAACACUGUGACAAGUCCUCGUCUAAGGUUGUCAGAUACAUUGACUUAAUUGCAGCCUUUUGGCGUCUCAUACAGCCACUCUCUACUUCUUUUAGCUGCAUAUGUAUGUUUACCAUAAGCUGUUUUGCAUCUUAAGCGCCCAGUAGCAUGUGUUUUUAUAAGAAAAAAUAUGAUUUACUGUGGGUAAAAUGUAUAAAAUUCAUCUUCCAUGAAUCACCCACCACUCUCAGUAGAGUUUUUCUACUGUGCAUUCAGCUUAUGGCUUUCUCUGAAUGUUAAAAACCGACACAUAGAGGUUUUUGUCUUUUUUUUUAAGGUACAGUGUGCAAAAAUUGGUGUAAGCCGCAAUAUCAAGUAGGUGAGAUUCUGUAUUGAAACCACAGACUGUAAAACAUGGACCUUGAUGAUGUAUCCCAUUGGUUACUGACAUGGACUCCACUGGAUGGUGGAGUCCAUGUCGUAAAGGCUGAAUCAACCUGAUUUAUGGUCGACAGGAGGUGAAGAGGUGGCAUUAAGAUCGACCUUUAGCCUCCUUGCUAACAGCUACAGUGAGUGCACUUGUCAUUUUUGUCAGCUAUGCAAAACUUGUUACCUUAUUACAUCAAAAACAAACAAAUUAUGAAAACUUAACCUGUAUAUAGUGUGUGUUAUCAAAAUUCGGUACUCUGAUCUACAUCGUUUUGUUGCAGGUUAAACUUGUUCAUUUUUGCUGUAAAGAUAGCCUUUUUUUUCAGAAUGGGUGUGUAUGUGGUUUCCAGUGCUUUUGAAGCCAGCCCCCAAGUGGACACACAAGGAACUGCAGCUUUCAGCACUUCAGCAUUGGCCUCAUUUCCGUUUUUCCGCUUUUCUCGCCCCUCCUGCUCCUGAUGUGGCCUCAGAGGAGAAGCUCCUGUGAUGCAUGUUAAAUUUUAUCCUCCAUUUGGUAAGUUUUUACCAUCAAGAACUCCUCUUCAUAUAAAUUCAUUUGCUCAUGAUAACUUAAGUCUUCUUUGCCUUUUCACCUCAGUUCAUCUAUUCUGUACUAUGAUAGAAACAUGACAAUACAAGAUGGCGGCCUCUGUGGAAGGGUACUCACCGCUAUGUAGAUAAAAAAAGAUUUUGAAAGACACACAAUCUUAAAUUAGCAAAAUCAAAGCAACAUUUAUAUUCAGGUGAUUAUACACUUUUAUAAACAUGUUGUGUGAAAUGCUGAUAAUUAUUGCACACUGUACCUUUAAUUCCCAGUACCAUGCAAAAAGGACAAGGUAGGAGAUAAUGGAAAAUAGCUGACAUACAACCCCAACACUUUUGAGGAUUUAAUUAGAAAAAAAGCUCAAAUGGUUACAUUUUCAUUAAGUGAUUUUAAAGCUCAUGUGAGGAAAUUUUGAUGUAUGUAACUUUGAGCACCUCCCUAUGGACAAAACGGUCUGCUUAUUUUGUAGCUUAUCAGACCAAAAAUUUCCAAUCCUGUUAUUAAAACAGCUGUUUCUAUAGCUGCUUGUCUGACACCUACCCCCUCACACUGAAUUCAAACAUUUCAAAAUUUAAGUAUAAAAAUCAUCAUCCUAUCGCUGAUAGUCUUGUUUGCUUUCACAUGUCGUGAAAAAGCAUCAAUAUCAAUUUUACCCUGUUUAAUAAAUGUCAAAAAAAUCCUCACAGGAGCUUUAAUCCUUGUUUACGCAAUAUUACAAUACUAAUAGUUUAACAGACAAUAAUUACUGAUAGGCAGGUUGAAUGAAAUGUUAAUUAUUUGUACUGACAGCAAGUUCUGGUCACUUUAUUUAAUAUGUUAGGAAAGACCUUUUAAUUACUUGAAGCCACAGGAUUUGUAGGAAUUAUUUUUUUCAUUUAUUUUUAGAAUAAAAAAACUAAUGCAAAAAAACAAGAAUAGUUUUAGCAGUUAUAUUUAACACAUUACCAUUGGGGGGUCUGCAGCACAGAUCAGUCAAAUAUCAGUCGUGGAUGAUGAUGAUGAUGAUGAUGAUGAUUAAGGGAGCUGUGGGCCUCCUAGUGACCUCCUCCGCUGAAUCAGUGCUUUGCAGGCGCUUCAGCUGGAUGAGGUUUCUUAUCGCUCAGACAGACAGUGGGGGAGUGAUCAAUUAAUUACACGAGCUCGUGUAAUUAACGAGCACGAGGAGACACCGAAAAAAACAUCCUCUCCACGAGGGGGUUCGUUUAGUCACUCCUCGAGCAAAAAUACGAAAAAUUAAGAUGAUACAGAUUUUUUAAUUGAGUUGAAAAUAAACGCGAAUUAGACAUGCUGUUUUGAGGCUGCUUGUUUUACAUACAGAUUUUACUUUUAUGUUUAAAUGACUUGAAAUAAAACAAAAUUAAAGCUCUGUCCCAGAGCCUGUUAACCAUUUUCACAUUUCUUUGAGUGGUGAUAUUUAAAACCUCCUCAGGGUCAAAACUGUAGAUGUGUUUGUAUGAUAGGAGUAUGUGUGCGUGUGUGUCUGCGUUUGGUUGUGUGUGGUAGUGUUAGUCCUCCUGAAGACGAGCAGAAAUCAAUUACAAUUAUUCUCUGUUGACAAUGUAAUUAAAGUCAAGGCGGCGGCUAAUACUCCCGCUCCAGCCUCUUAUCUGGAGCGGACGGAGAUUUACAAGCGGAGGAACACAGCGUGAAUAGUAAGUGAUCGGCCCCGAGUGGGACUGUGCGCGUCCCGGUGGGACCGUGCUGAUCCCACCGGGGAGGGAAGCCAAAUCCAUAGAGUGUAUAUACUAUUAUAUAAUAUACUAUUCUAUAUACAGUUUAUGGUCAAACCUCCUCAGACAUCACCAAAUCAGGCAAGAGUACAAUGAAAGGAAAGAAACACAAAAAAAUCGUUAGCGAAACAGUGUUAAUGCGCAUGUGCAGGUUUGCUAACGAGCAAGAAAUUAGCCCAACAGAAAUUGUAUUUGUUGGUUAGCCUACUGAAUGCAGUUAGCUACAGAUUUGGAUGCUGUUGGAGAGCUUUAAAACUUAAAAAUAUAAAAGAGAUAAAAUAUUUCAUAAUAUUAGGCCCACGUUUCUUACUUUAAGAUAUUAAGUUUUGUUUGAAUUGUUUUGACAUUAUUCAAAAAAGGUUUUCGUGAUUCCGGCUUUUAUUUUGAAAGAAAAGAUAUCCGGCCGCCAUUUUUUUAAUCUAUUGAUUAUAGGCCUAUCUAAAGUUUUUCGUCUAGCUGUGUUGUAUCUCCUCGAAUUAUAAUUUCCGAAUGAUAAAGUUUGAAAAACGGAUAACACUGUCAAGAAAAAAAAUAGUAGAACAGAAAAAAAAAUAUUAACCCGGAAGUAAACCGGAA